rnacentral:rRNA from 1 species
UGGGGAAUAUUGGACAAUGGGCGCAAGCCUGAUCCAGCCAUGCCGCGUGAGUGAUGAAGGCCUUAGGGUUGUAAAGCUCUUUCGCCGGUGAAGAUAAUGACGGUAACCGGAGAAGAAGCCCCGGCUAACUUCGUGCCAGCAGCCGCGGUAAUACGAAGGGGGCUAGCGUUGCUCGGAAUCACUGGGCGUAAAGCGCACGUAGGCGGAUCGUUAAGUCAGGGGUGAAAUCCUGGAGCUCAACUCCAGAACUGCCCUUGAUACUGGCGAUCUCGAGUUCGAGAGAGGUUGGUGGAACUCCGAGUGUAGAGGUGAAAUUCGUAGAUAUUCGGAAGAACACCAGUGGCGAAGGCGGCCAACUGGCUCGAUACUGACGCUGAGGUGCGAAAGCGUGGGGAGCAAAACAGGAUUAGAUACCCUGGUAGUCCACGCCGUAAAACGAUGGAUGCUAGCCGUUGGGGGGUUUACCUCUCAGUGGCGCAGCUAACGCCUUAAGCAUCCCGCCUGGGGAGUACGGUCGCAAGAUUAAAACUCAAAGGAA